GUAGACAACCCAACACAUUUUUUUAUCUUACAGUGCAUUCAAUACUUUCACAAGUUGUAAAUUUGUUAGUUUUAUAUUCUUAUAUUAACAGAUUCCGUUUAUUUGUCAUCCUUUUGAAUAUUCGUGUCUACGGAUCACGUUUGCCAAGCUGGCUUUGAAACUUAUGUAAAUUGAAAGUAGAAAAUCAUGGAUAAAGAAAGUCAAUCUUCAUCUGUACAUGAUCCGCUAAUAUACUUGUCAGAGAAAGAUAGACAACGUGCUUCAAGUGUUAUUUCACAGGCCGAAUAUGCCGGAUAUAAAAGCGGACCAAUCCCUCAAAAUGCGCAUGUUUCAUCAUUUGAUUUUGACAAAGGUUACGGUUCGAAACUUGGCGAGCGACCUUCGUUUAUCACAGCUUAUCCUGUAACAGUAAUUGGGUUAGCGGCCUGUUUUGGCAUUGUAUGUUAUGGCGUAUUGAGGCGCAAUAAGAAUUACUUCAGCGAUCAGUCGUUAAUGAACAUCUGUUGGGCAGCGCAAGUUGGGACAGUACUUUCAUUUGUUGGACACCGCUUCUAUCAUGACUCAAAGAAACAAGCAGCUGAAAGUAAACAGUUAGGUGCUGUGAAGACAUUAUCAGAAUAAUGAGACUAAAGUGAUAUUUUUUGUACAAUUAAAUAACAAAACGAGGGAUACUGAACAGUGUUAAUCAUUGCAUGGAAUAAGUAUGGAGCGAGUUGCAAGUGUCAAAUAUGGUGCAUUGCACAUGUGUAAAAAUAACUUUACAUUAUUGUUUAAAUUUAGUGUUUUCCUUGUCUUUUGAAAAUAUGUUAAGCCCUUAGCAAAUAUUUGAAUACUUGGUUUAAAGUACAUAUAUCAAAGAGUUUAUCAAAAUUACACUGUAUCUAAAGCGCAAAGAUUGCUGAGAUAGGUCAGUAUUGACUUGUGACAAUUACAGUUAUAAAUGUAUACACCUUCAUGCGUUUACUGGUGCGUUUCGGCAGUUCAAAGCAAAUUCAAUAGAGAAUGGUUACCACCCAAAAUGACCUGUGAUGUUUGACAAGUUGGAUUAUUGUUUAUCACAGUACACAGGUGCUAGAGUGGUGUACAAUGAGAGCAAACAAUCUGGUUAAAACUGGAUUAUGAAUGUCGGAUUAAACAGAAAUUAAGGUGGAUGAAAAAAGGGUAAAAUACAACUUUGAAACGGAUUUUAUCUCAUUAAAUUCUCAGAUAUUAAAGCAUGUUAUUUAGAGAUAAUGCUCAUCAGAUUUUUGGGAGCCAUUGCCGAUUCGCGAUAUAUUGGACAACGCGAUAUAACGGAGCGUGAUAUAUUGGAGUUGGAGUGUAUCAAAUUUUAAACUUAACAUUUGUUGGACUCGACCCUGUCUGUUUGUAUGUAUAAUUUAGUUGUAUGUAUAAGUAUGAAAGAAUUUUCAAAGAA